AAAUGAAUGUUUAUGGCUUUACACUUGGAGUGUUCUUGGAACACUCUUCAUAGCAAAUCCUCCCUCAGAAGACCCCCACCUGGCAUCAGAACAAACCGGUAAGAAUGAUCCUACUUCAAUAGAGUUGCUGUGAGGAUUCACUGAGAUCAUGUGUACCAAGCUCCUACAAUAGUACUGAACCCACAGUAAGUACUGAGUGAAAAUUAGCAUUAUUGCAGAUUUCUGCUCCUAUGAAAGUUACGAUUGUGAAUUACUACACUUAUACACUUCCUCUGAAGUCUAAAGAAAUCACAGGCUCCUCCCAAGAUUUGGAAAAUUGAGCUCAUCUUUGUCUAUCUUCAGAAAAAAAAUCUAGUUAAAUUGUUCAAUGGUUAAGUUAGAUAUUAUCUGAUAUGGAACUAAGUUUGUGAGAUAUAAACAGUAUUCUGUCCACCCCUCCUUAGUUAAGCUAAGAGGUAUUAGCUUUAUUAUUUGCUAAAUGUCACUUAGCAUUUG
rnacentral:lncRNA from 10 species